AUGUCGGGUGAGUCCGAGACUGAAGGCAAGGCCAUAGGCAUCGACCUUGGCACAACCUAUAGCUGCGUCAGUGUGUGGCAAAACGACCGUGUUGAGAUCAUCGCCAACGACUAGGGCAACCGCACCACUCCCUCCUACGUGGCCUUCACAGACACCGAGCGGCUCAUCGGCGAUGCAGCCAAAAACCAAGUGGCCAUGAAUCCACAGAACACCGUCUUCGACGCCAAGCGUCUCAUUGGUCGGCGAUUCUCCGAUCCAUCAGUCCAAAGCGACAUGAAGCUCUGGCCUUUCAAGGUCAUCCCUGGUCCCGGCGACAAACCCAUGAUCGUCGUCAGGUACAAAGGCGAAGAAAAGACCUUUUAUGCGGAGGAGAUAUCUUCCAUGGUGCUGACGAAGAUGAGGGAGAUAGCUGAGGCUUAUUUGGGUCAGACCAUAAAGAACGCUGUGGUGACUGUCCCUGCUUAUUUCAACGACUCCCAGAGACAGGCUACCAAGGACGCCAGCGCUAUUUCUGGGCUCAACGUCAUGCGAAUUAUCAACGAGCUCACCACGGGCGCUAUAGCCUAUGGGCUGGACAAGAAGGCCUCGAGAAAAGGUGAGCAGAACGUCCUUAUUUUCGAUCUCGGCGGAGGCACUUUUGAUAUCUCGUUUUUGACUAUUGAAUAGGGGAUAUUUGAGGUGAAGGCCACCGCCAGCGAUACUCAUCUUGGUGGUGAAGAUUUUGAUAAUAGAAUGGUAAAUCACUUUGUGGCCAAGUUCAGGAGGAAGCAUAAGAAGGAUAUCAGUGGAAAUGCCAGAGCUUUGAGGAGGUUGAGGACGGCGUGUGAGAGGGCUAAGAGGACCCUGUCUUUGACCUCUCAGACCACAAUUGAGAUUGAUUCUUUGUACGAAGGGAUUGAUUUCGCGACGAUUACAAGGGCCAGGUUCGAGGAGUUGAAUAUGGAUUUGUUCAGGAAGUGUAUGGAGCCGGUUGAAAAGUGUCUGAGGGAUGCUAAGAUCAACAAGAGUCAGGUUCACGAUGUUGUUCUGGUUGGUGGGUCGACUAGAAUUCCCAAGGUUCAGCAACUUUUGCAGGAUUUUUUCAAUGGGAAAGAGCUGUGCAAGAGCAUAAACCCGGACGAAGCGGUUGCCUAUGGUGCUGCGGUUCAAGUUGCGAUCUUGAGCGGCGAAGGAGAUGAGAAAGUGCAGGACCUGUUGUUGCUCGAUGUCACGCCUCUCAGUCUUGGGGCAUGAGACAGCUGGUGGUGUUAUGACUACUCUCAUCUCGAGGAACACAACAAUUCCAACCAAGAAGGAGCAGAUUUUCUCUAUUUACUCCGAUAAUCAGCCAGGGGUUUUGAUCCAAGUCUACGAAGGAGAGCGCGCCCGAACCAAGGACAACAAUUUAUUAGGGAAGUUUGAGCUCACUGGGAUUCCUCCUGCUCCUAGAAGCGUGCCCCAAAUCAAUUUGUGCUUUGACAUUGAUGCGAAUGGCAUUUUGAAUGUGUUUGCUGAGGACAAGACUGCUGGAGUGAAGAACAAGAUCACCAUCACCAACGAUAAAGGAAGGCUGAGCAAGGAAGAAAUAGAGAAGAUGGUGCAAGAUGCAGAGAAGUACAAGGCAGAGGACGAGGAGGUGAAGAAGAAAGUGGACGCCAAGAAUGCGUUAGAAAACUACGCAUAUAACAUGAGGAACACGGUGAAGGACGACAAGUUUGCAGGGAAAUUGGACCCUGCGGACAAGGAUAAGAUCGAGAAGGCAGUGGAGGAUGCCAUUAAUUGGAUGGAGGGGAACCAGCGGGCUAAGGUUGAUGAGUUGGAGGGGUUAUGCAAUCCAAUAAUUGCUAAGAUGUACCAGGGUGGUGGUGGUGCUGGAGGCAUGCCGCCUAUGGGGGAUGAUGACAUGUCUGGUGGUGCUUCUACUGGCUCUGCGACUGGACCUGGCCCUAAGAUGGAAGAAGUUGAUUAAGUUGUUUCUAGUGGAGCUCUGUUUUCGUUUUUGGGGUCUUAAAAGUUUUUGUUGUUCUGUUUUUGGUUAAGCUUGUAAACAUGUGUUUUUUGAGUUUUUUUUUUAUAAAAAAAAUCCCUAAGUAGUGUAUGUUUAUAUGUAAUAGAGAGUCAGCAACCAAUCUAAUAUAAGAAGUUGGGUUUACUUUUUUGGUUCAUAGUGAGACUUGUCUUAUCAAAAAAUGAUAA